rnacentral:rRNA from 1 species
UGGGGAAUAUUGCACAAUGGAGGGAACUCUGAUGCAGCGACGCCGCGUGAGUGAUGAAGGAAUUCGUUUCGUAAAACUCUGUUCUAUGGGAAGAAAAGGACUGUACCAUAGGAGAAAGCUCCGGCUAAAUACGUGCCAGCAGCCGCGGUAAUACGUAUGGAGCGAGCGUUGUCCGGAAUUAUUGGGCGCAAAGGGUGCGCAGGCGGCUUUACAAGUUGGAUGUGAAAUAUUGUGGCUCAACCACAAACGUGCAUCCAAAACUGCAAAGCUUGAGUUAAGGAGAGGUAAGUGGAAUUCCUGGUGUAGCGGUGGAAUGCGUAGAUAUCAGGAGGAAUACCGGUGGCGAAGGCGACUUACUGGACUUAAACUGACGCUCAGGCACGAAAGCGUGGGGAGCAAACAGG